UCCAGCCUCCGGUGUUUUGAUUAACAGGUACAUUCACCAAGACAUUGUUGGUGGCGGUUGGGGUCAUUGCCAGUGGAGUGGUUGUCAUCAUCAUUUUCGUCAUUGUUGCCUGGAGAAAAAAGAAGGAAGUGAUUGGAGGGCAAGAGUUGGAAAGUGAUUCCCAACCUGUGAUCUACACUGAAGUGCAGACACCAAAAAAGACUCAGGCAACUCAAUCUGAGGCCAGUGGCAGACGAGAAAACGAAUUUGCCUACGCCAAUCUGCAGCACGAAUCAAUCGUGCCAAGGCAGGCAAAAGCUCAGAGUGACAGAGUGGAGAUCUUGGGGGCUGUGUGAAAGAACGCGGACGGAAUGCUGCAAUCAGUUCAUUAACACGAAUGGCAGAGAAUCGGCAAAUCUGUAAACGACACUGAAACAAAAUUGAGCGUGGUAUUUUUUACGGGUAAAGUAAUUUGGAAAUGAACCCUAAACUGUAUUUUUGUGCAAUGGAAGUAAAAUAGUUAUGGGCUGUCAAAUGUAUAAAGUAUCAAACUCCUUGUGUGUUAUGUGGACACCUGUAAUUUACUUCCUGUCAUGUUUUGUCACACUUGCUUUCCACUCAUUUCCUCCAGUUGCCCAUUAUUUUUCCAUCCCACUUCCCCCCUUUCUGCUUUUUCCUGUCAUGUACCUCACGAACACUCAAUAUUCACUUGGCUUGCAAAAUUCUUCCCCCUAUUUUCUUAAUAGCGUAGAAGCAUUACCAGCUCUGACUCACUGUGAGCAAAGCCUCAAGAUAUUUCACAAAAAGGACAAAUAUAAUUUAUUGCAAGCUGGAAUGUUGAAAAUUCUUGAAGAUCCAUAGUGAUUUUAGAUUUCAUCUGAUCCCCCCUGAUUUUGUAGAUUAUCUCAUCAAACAGAUAGUGUUAAAAUGGAUGAAAUCUGCAUGACUAGAUAUUGCAAUGAGACAGAGGUCUUCCAUUCAAAUACAAAUACAGUCCACAUCAGAAAGUCCUCUGAUUGCAGGAGUACUAUGUGGAGUUUGACUCAUCUUGUUCCAUUUUAUAGUGAUCUUGAGCAGGCAGCACAAGUAAUUUAUCCUAAUUUCCAGUUUUUCUCAAAGACACAGUGUUCCUAGAUGAGAUUGUGCCAAAGUAGAGGAGGUCCGACAGCAUCUUUACUCUUAGUCUAAUCAUGCUAUAUCUGACCUCUGAG